rnacentral:rRNA from 1 species
GAUGAACGCUGGCGGCGUGCUUAACACAUGCAAGUCGAACGAUGAAGCCGGAGCUUGCUCUGGUGAAUUAGUGGCGAACGGGUGAGUAACACGUGAGUAACCUGCCCUUGACUCUGGGAUAACUGCGGGAAACUGUAGCUAAUACCGGAUACGACCCUCGGAGGCAUCUCCUGGGGGUGGAAAGAAUUUCGGUCAAGGAUGGACUCGCGGCCUAUCAGCUAGUUGGUGAGGUAAAGGCUCACCAAGGCGACGACGGGUAGCCGGCCUGAGAGGGUGACCGGCCACACUGGGACUGAGACACGGCUCAGACUCCUACGGGAGGCAGCAGUGGGGAAUAUUGCAUAAUGGGCGCAAGCCUGAUGCAGCAACGCCGCGUGAGGGAUGACGGCCUUCGGGUUGUAAACCUCUUUUAGCAGGGAAGAAGCGAAAGUGACGGUACCUGCAGAAAAAGCACCGGCUAACUACGUGCCAGCCGCCGCCGUAA